GACGAACGCUGGCGGCGUGCCUAAUACAUGCAAGUUGAGCGCUGAAGGUUGGUACUUGUACCAACUGGAUGAGCAGCGAACGGGUGAGUAACGCGUGGGGAAUCUGCCUUUGAGCGGGGGACAACAUUUGGAAACGAAUGCUAAUACCGCAUAAAAACUUUAAACACAAGUUUUAAGUUUGAAAGAUGCAAUUGCAUCACUCAAAGAUGAUCCCGCGUUGUAUUAGCUAGUUGGUGAGGUAAAGGCUCACCAAGGCGAUGAUACAUAGCCGACCUGAGAGGGUGAUCGGCCACAAUGGGACUGGGACACGGCCCAAACUCCUACGGGAGGCAGCAGUAGGGAAUCUUCGGCCAUGGACGAAAGUCUGACCGAGCAACGCCGCGGGAGUGAAGAAGGUUUUCGGAUCGUAAAACUCUGUUGGUAGAGAAGAACGUUGGUGGGAGUGGAAAGCUCAUCAAGUGACGGUAACUACCCAGAAAGGGACGGCUAACUACGUG
rnacentral:rRNA from 1 species